rnacentral:rRNA from 1 species
UACAGAGGGUGCGAGCGUUGUCCGGAAUCACUGGGCGUAAAGGGCGCGUAGGUGGCGCGACAAGUCAGUGGUGAAAGCUCGACGCUCAACGUCGAGUCGGCCACUGAUACUGUUGGGCUUGAGCACUGUAGAGGCUAAUGGAAUUCCGGGUGUAGCGGUGGAAUGCGUAGAGAUCCGGAAGAACACCGGUGGCGAAGGCGGUUAGCUGGGCCUGCACUGACACUGAGGGACGAAAGCUAGGGGAGCGAAAGGG